rnacentral:lncRNA from 1 species
AGCACCUCCUUUGUGCCAGCGACUGUGUGGGGUGCUGGGGUUACAAUGGUGAGUGAGGUAACCAUGAUUCCAGCUCUCAGGAAACCUAAUGACCAAAUGGGGAAGAUAGGUGACAGUGAUGGUGAUGACGAUGGCAAUGGUCAUGAUGGAGAUGAUGGUGAUGGUGAUGAUGGAGGUGAUGGUGAUAAUGGAGGUGAUGGUGAUGGUGAUGACAGAGGUGAUGGUGGUAAUGGAGGUGGUGGCAAUGGUGAUGAUGGAGGUGAUGGAGGUGAUGGUGAUAAUGGAGGUGAUGGUGAUGAUGGAGGUGAUAAUGGAGGUGAUGGUGAUGAUGGAGGUGAUGGUGAUGGUGGUAAUGGAGGUGAUGGCGAUGGUGAUGAUGGAGGUGAUAGUGAUGAUGGAGGUGAUGGUGAUGAUGGAGGUGAUGAUGAUGGUGAUGAUGGAGGUGAUGGUGAUGAUGGAAGUGAUGGCAAUGGUGGUGAUGGAGGUGAUGGCAAUGGUGAUGAGGGAGGUGAAAUUCACAUCAUAUACAAUGAACCGUUUUAGAGUGUACAGUUCGG